rnacentral:misc_RNA from 1 species
GGCUUCGAGAUCGUCGACAACGAUGAGGACGUUGUCCAUCCGUUUAAGCGUCAUAUCCUUCCUUCCCUCGCUUCAUUGCUGAUGCCCGUACUUGCCGCACGUGGCGUACAGGUAUUAGUCAGAAAAACUUCUGCCUAUCUCUUCUGCCUAAAAUAGGCUCCGCUCCCUCAUGACCCCUUCGCUUUCUUCUUCUUCGGCGCCACCUCCGCCCAAGGCCGCACGUGGCUGCGUUCUUCAUCGAUGCUACGG